UUCAGUUGAACAUUUAUUGUUGUUUUUGUUAAAUUCUCUUCUUUUUUUUCCUUCUCUGUGUCUAUAAAAUAUUUUUUAGAAUUAUUUAUUGCAAAAAUUAACUUUCGACAUGACUGUCAAGAAGAAGGAGACUGUUUCUUCUGUGAAUAAAUCGUCAACGCCACCAAAAUCUACGGCACGGAAAGAUUGUGUUUCAAGUACUGAUUCCAGUAGUAGUUCUAGUAGUUCAACAUCAACAACAUCAGGAUCUGAUACUUCAAGUUCGUCUGACACUGAAAAUUCGUCAACCACUGAAAAUAAUUCUUCUGAAUCCGAAAAACAUAAAAAAUCACCUAGGAAAAAAGCUUCCACAUCAUCAGAACCUAAAGUGUCUGAACUAACCAAAAAACAAUCUUCACCUGAAAAAUUUAAAAGCAAGUCUAGUACAGCUCCCAAAUUAACAGUUGCUAUUUAUACGGAUUCAGAUACAGAUGCUGAGACUAAAACUAAAAGAAAAUUUCCUCCUGUUAAACCUAAAGCUACUGCUACAGUGGCAGCAGUUUUUAAAUCUCAAGAUAAAGGUAAAAAAUCUGAUGUGAAGCGUAAUCAAGGACCUAGGUCUAAGGCUACAGCUGUUACAGAUGGAAUCAAAAAACCUGACCCAAAGUCAAAAAGUAUUUUCAGUCCAGAUAAGAUUAAUAGUAGUGAUAGUGAUCCUCCUCCUCCAAAACUGACACCUAUGAAAACUGCUGCUACACAAAAGGCAUUAGUAAAACCUAGACCUAAAGCAAUGGCAACAUUAAAGAAGCAUUCACCUACCACUAAAACGUCAACAUUAACAUCGGGAAGUUCUGAAUCUUCAGAUUCAGAUUCAUCUAUAGAUAAAAAGGUUAAAAAAACAAACCAAGAUAAAAAGAAAAUAUUGAAUAAACCACCACAACCUGCUGUAAAAGUUACUAGUGCAAAUGAGUCAUCGUCUAGUGGGAAGGUCUCUAGAGGUCGUGGACGGCCUAGAAAAUACCCAGUUCCAGAACCAACUAAAAAUGGUUCAAAUACAAACUCUAAUUCAAAAUCAGCCCAAGACAAAAAACUUAUUACUACUAGAGGAUCUACCAGAGUAAGUCGUAUAUUGGCUGCUAGUCAUAGAACUACAACAGCAACAGAUUCUGAUUCAGAUACAGAGAGUAAAUCAACAAGUACUAGUUGUAAAUCGCCUACUAAAAAAGCACGUGAUAAAAAUCGUAAACCAUUAAAUUGUAAUGAUAAGAGAUUGAACAGUGGUGGCCUGGUUGAAUUAGAAGAAAGACUAUGUCCAGUAAAUGGUUGUGAUUCAUUGGGUCAUCUAAAUGGUUUAUAUGAGCGCCAUUUCACUUCAGAAGCCUGUCCUAUGUAUCACAGAUUGACAAUAAAGCAAUGUCAAGAUAAUUUGUCUGAACGACUUAAGAAAAAUGAAGAACGUUUAAAGGGAGCAUUAAAAUCCAGUUCAACUGAACAAAAAUUGUAUCGUGAUAAAGUUAGAGAAAUGAGGAAUGAAGUAGAAGAUAAAAAAAAAAAUGACACUAGUAGUAGUGAUACUUCCCAAAGUGAUAUAUUCACUGGUAAAGACUUAGAGCCUGAUAUAUUCAACUGUUCUAAUAUAUCAUUGUAUGAUCUUAAGUUGUUUCAAGAAGCUCAAGCAGUAGCCAGUGAGAAAAUUGAAGAAGAUUUGAAGCAAUUGCCAAAUUUUAAAGGUACUAAAUAUUUAGAAAUGGGAAAAUAUGAAAUGGAAGUUUGGUAUCAAAGUCCAUAUCCUGAAGAAUAUACACAAGUACCCAAAUUAUAUUUGUGUGAAUUUUGUUUACAUUAUAUGAAGAGUAAAACAGUACUAUUUAGACAUAAACUUAAAUGUGUUUGGAAACAUCCACCUGGUGAUGAAGUUUAUCGGAAAGAUCGUAUUUCUGUCUGGGAAGUAGAUGGAAAGCGAUUUAAAAUCUUCUGUCAGAAUUUAUGUCUGUUGGCAAAGUUUUUUUUGGAUCAUAAAACUCUUUAUUAUGAUGUUGAGCCAUUUUUGUUUUACAUAAUGACAACUCAGGAUGAAGAUGGAUGCCACAUUGUUGGUUAUUUCAGUAAGGAAAAGAAUUCGUUUUUGAAUUUCAACGUGAGUUGUAUUCUAACAUUACCUCCAUACCAAAGGCAAGGAUACGGCAGACUUCUUAUCGAUUUCAGUUACUUGCUAACCCGAGUAGAAGGUAAAGUGGGUUCGCCAGAAAAACCACUAUCCGAUUUGGGAUUGAUAUCGUACAGAAGCUACUGGAAAGACGUUCUGCUACAGUACUUGUGCAACUUGGGCGGAAAGCAACUGUCCGUAAAAGACAUGAGUCAAGAACUAGCCAUAAACUCCUAUGAUAUAGUCAGCACGCUCCAAGCUCUCGGCAUGAUGAAAUAUUGGAAGGGAAAGCACAUCAUACUCAAGAAACAGGACGUAAUCGAUGAAUAUCUGGAAAGGUCAAAACGUCGAGGAUCGGACUAUAAAGAAAUUGACGCCAAAUGUUUGCGGUGGCGACCCCGUUCAGCUCCAGCACCGGCCGGGCCCACAUGAAAUAUACCCGUGUUCAGGAUACCAAAACAUCGUUUUACCAAUUUUUCAUGUAGGUGAAUUUUCUCCGUUGACGACGAAUUUAUACAGAAUCAAGCCGCAUUCCACUUUCCAAAAUCACCCGGUGCAGAUGAAAUCGGAUCGCUCACGUCCACGUGUUAUUAUUUAUAUUCGUACUGUUAUCGUCGUUAAAAUUCCCUCGAUUCGAUUUCACCGCACGCGGUUACUGUAUUGUAAUAAUUAUUAUUAUUGUAAUCAUUGCGGACGUGUCGUCCUGGCGAAAGCCACCCGUCACACGUGCCGCGCGCAAGAUCCGAAUAGCCGAGGUCGGAGCCUCGACGACGGUGACCGCGGGCGGGCGUGUGGGCGGACUGUGCGACACGUGCGCGUGUUAUCGUCAAAGGACGACGUUUUCGCACGUACGUAUUAUACCGUAUAAGUAACGUACGACGUGUACGGUGGACCGCGAAGGGAAGGAUAAGAGUCGAGGGCGGAAGGAAAUGGAAAAACUCGUACAAGUAAAACGCGACGUCGCCGUUGCCCGAACGCAGACGGUAAUGAUACACGUGGAAGCCGACGAAGAUAACGGGAAAUGGUUGUUGCGGCCACGGCGUCACACACCCCGUCUCUCACCCCUGCGCCAUGUUACGUGCGCGGCAUUAUCGCGUACUUUUCGCCGUGCAACGAUAUACACACACGCACACGUUCCACCCCCCGAGGGCAUCGCAUUCCUCUCCGAAGGGACGCAGAAAAAUCACCGCCCAAAAGUCAUCCGCCGUUUCGUCCUGAACCCGGCAUUCCGACGCUUUUCCCGCACCGCCCCUUAGGAACAACGUGUACCGUGCUCGUACUCCCACAAUAUUAUUUUGUAUGAUCAGUCCGCGUCUUCGCUAUACUUUUUUUUUUUUUUUUAAACUACUUUACCCGCCGUGUUCCGUCUGUUAUAUUAUUAUAUUAUUGAGUGUUACGUUCAACCCUCCAGUGCUCACUUGCGCAUAAGUGUAAGAUAACGUUUUUUUUUUUUUUAUGUUUUAUGUCCAAAAAUCAUAAAAUUAAUCUUUUCUCAAUAUUAUAUAUUGUAGGUCCUAAUCACUUUUUUUUUAUAUAUAUAUUGUUUAACUCCUAACAUCGACGUGGGAUGGAGAAUUAUUAUUAUUGUACAAUUUAUUUGUUUCAUUUUCCCUUUGAUUUGUUUACGUCUUAACGGUUUUAGUUGUAAUAAAAUCGGCAGUUCAGAAUGUAACACGCUGAUAAUUUAUAUACAAAUUGACUAAAUAUUUUUUGUCCAUGAAUUAAAAUCUUCUGUUCUCCGUGAUGGCCGACAGAAAGCGCCAAUUUUUGGCCGAUCGUUUCACGCGUGCAUACGUUUUGUAAAAACAUAUAUUAUACUGUUUUUGUCUAUUAUUUUUUAUUUUUACUUAAAACAUAUUAUUAUUUU
rnacentral:misc_RNA from 1 species